ensembl:lncRNA
CAUAAUAAGGCUAGGGUUGCGUGCUGGCAAAAAAUAGCCGACCGUGUUAAUGCAUGUGGUGCCAGCACGCACCUACGAACAUGGGCCCAAGUGAAAAAUAAAUAUAAAAACAUAAUUCAAUGUGCAAAUAAAAAGAAAACAAAAAUUAAUACGACUGGGAGGGGGACUGCUCCACCGCCCUUCACCACUUCGGAGGAGCUGGCUCUCGCCAACAACAAAGGUCGGCCAAUGAUGGUAGGAGUGGAUGGGGGGAUGUCGUCUGACCCCACUGCCUCGACAUCGAACCCGUUUGUAACUAUGUAUUCAUGUAUUGGCAAUGGACAUAAAUAAUUGUCUUGCUAAUCAAAUGUGAAAUGAUUGAGUGUAAAUUAAUCGUGUCAUUUUUAGUUGAAGGUACAAACAUUGUUUUGGAGAAGCCGCCGACAAUUAAUCUCCAAUCAGAGGAAACACUGUCGGCCUGUGACUACAGGGCGACUAUGGAGAGGGAAAUGGCAUUGGAUGAGCCCUCCACCUCCACCUCAACCUCAACCUUCUCAAGGCCUUCUCGUGGGACAGACAAGAUUGGAACAGACACUAUAAGGGCGCUGUACAAGCGCAACUUGGAGCUGGACAACGACAUCAGAGUGUUGGUGAAAAAAAAUUGAAGAUCGAGAUCCAGCUCCUCGAGAGGGUAGGCUAUUUAUUAGAUUUUCUUUGGUGAAGCUCGAC